rnacentral:sRNA from 1 species
UACGUUCCAGCAAUUUACCCGCCUCGUC